rnacentral:tRNA from 1 species
ACCUGGGUGGCUCAGUGGUUAAGCAUCUGACUUCAGCUCAGGUCAUGAUCUGGCGGUUCAUGGGUUCAAAGCCCAUGUUGGGCU